GCGGUCGUAGCUCAGCAGGAUAGAGCGACGGAUUCCUAAUCCGUAGGCCGUGGGUUCGAAUCCCGCCGAUCGCACCA
rnacentral:tRNA from 1 species